UACGAAGGGGGCUAGCGUUGCUCGGAAUCACUGGGCGUAAAGCGCACGUAGGCGGCUUCUUAAGUCAGGGGUGAAAUCCUGGAGCUCAACUCCAGAACUGCCUUCGAUACUGGGAGUCUCGAGUCCGGGAGAGGUGAGUGGAACUGCGAGUGUAGAGGUGAAAUUCGUAGAUAUUCGCAAGAACACCAGUGGCGAAGGCGGCUCACUGGCCCGGUACUGACGCUGAGGUGCGAAAGCGUGGGGAGCAAACAGG
rnacentral:rRNA from 1 species